rnacentral:rRNA from 1 species
AUUGAACGCUGGCGGAAUGCUUUACACAUGCAAGUCGAACGGUAGAGGGGGCAACCCCUCGAGAGUGGCGAACGGGUGAGUAAUAUAUCGGAACGUGCCCAGUCGUGGGGGAUAACGUAGCGAAAGUUACGCUAAUACCGCAUACGAUCUAAGGAUGAAAGCGGGGGAUCGCAAGACCUCGCGCGAUUGGGGCGGCCGAUAUCAGAUUAGGUAGUUGGUGGGGUAAAGGCUCACCAAGCCAACGAUCUGUAGCUGGUCUGAGAGGACGACCAGCCGCACUGGGACUGAGACACGGCCCAGACUCCUACGGGAGGCAGCAGUGGGGAAUUUUGGACAAUGGGCGCAAGCCUGAUCCAGCCAUUCCGCGUGCAGGACGAAGGCCUUCGGGUUGUAAACUGCUUUUGUACGGAACGAAAAGGCUCUGGUUAAUACCUGGGGCUCAUGACGGUACCGUAAGAAUAAGCACCGGCUAACUACGUGCCAGCCGCCGCGGUAA